CAAAACUGAAGAACAAAAGGAUCUGACAAAGUCAUUGUUUCACUGUGUAAAUAAAGUGGUUGCUUGUUUGUGGCAGCCAGGCAGGAAACCAUAAAAAAUCAACAAGAAGCACAAGCUUUUAAAAACAAAUCUAUUAUCAUACUUUUUUUAAAAAAAAGAAAUGCAUAAUGGUCUCUAUUAUUUGAGAAGCUUUCUUCAAAUUACUGCUAGAAGCAGGAAUUCUUUUCAAGCCUUUUGAACUGUUAAGUAUAGGGUAGUGCUUAUUUUCUACUAACCUUGGAUCUUGGAUUAUUUGUAUUUUCUGUUUACAUAAAUGUUUUGUUUUGAAUGCUUCCACGAAGCCCAUGAAACUUUUCAGUGUACUAUUAAACCAGUGAUUUAGCAGGGGUCAUUUUAACUGACUCUAGAGAUUUUUUUUUCCUAAAGUAGGACUUAAACAAAAGUAUACAUGCAAGGCAGAAACACACGCAGUUUCAUUUUAGAUUCAAACGCACACAAAAUGGGCAUGGAACAGCCUUUUUGGGGCUACACCAUUUAUUGCUGAAGAGAGGGUUCCAUUUUGUAAAAUGAGAAGUGCCAUGCACAUGGAAAGCUAGGGUGUCAUGGAGAAAUAUUUUAGCUUAGCAUCUCUGACUGUAGCAAUGAGAAUUGUGGCAACAACAGAAGCAACCUCAACUAACCUGCAACCCCCAGGAAAGGAGGACAUGAUAGAGUUAGAUUGCCUAUAAUAAAGUGUGGGCAGUCGUGAUAUAUUUUGUGGUUGAUGCUAGACUUGGGAUGUGUUCAGUGUUCAGUUUGAGGAGGGGCUAUGCACCUGAAUGCUAGGCAUAUCUUGUUGGAUAUACAGUAUAGCAAGACAGUUUAUAAAGGAGUAAAUUUGUUAGUAUUUUCAAGUAUGGUUGGGAAACUGGAUAUGUGAUAUUUGUGAAUAGUGAAUAAUCAUUUAAAUUUAAUCUACAGAGAAGUGCCAGGCAACAAAAUAUAUCUGUUCAAAAUGUAUUUGGAACCUUUUUUUGAGCAAGAGAAAGGAUAACUCUACAAUAAAAGGGCAAAAGAUGGGCAAACAUAAAGGUAAACUUUGCAGCAAUGCAGAUGAGGUAGCUUUAAUACGUAUCAAGCCUGAAAAUUCAUUCCUGGAAUUAUGAAAGUUUAGCAAGGUCUUGAGUAAAAUAAUACUUGACUUUUCAUUUAUUAGAGGGGCAAUCAAAAUAUUGAAAGAAAACAAAAAAAAUCUGGAUCUAAAACAGUAAAAUAUUUAGGUAUUUGUUUUUCAAAUGCUAGCAAAUAACUCAAAUGAUUGAAUUGUCA